UACGUACUGUGCGAACGUUAUUCGGAAUUACUGGGCUUACAGGGUGCGUAGGCGGCGAUUCAGGUCUGGUGUGAAAGCCCUCGGCUCAACCGAGGAAUGGCAUUGGAAACCGAAUCGCUUGAGUCAACUAGAGGUAUGCGGAACUUCCGGUGGAGCGGUGAAAUGUGUUGAUAUCGGAAGGAACACCAGAGGCGAAGGCGGCAUACGGGGGUUGGUCUGACGAUGAGGCACGAAAGCCAGGGGAGCAAACGGG
rnacentral:rRNA from 1 species